rnacentral:rRNA from 1 species
GGGUCUGCGUCUCAUUAGCUAGUUGGUAGGGUAAUGGCCUACCAAGGCAACGAUGAGUAGCUGGUCUGAGAGGAUGAUCAGCCACACUGGAACUGAAACACGGUCCAGACUCCUACGGGAGGCAGCAGUGGGGAAUAUUGCGCAAUGGGCGAAAGCCUGACGCAGCAACGCCGUGUGAGGGAUGAAGGCUUUCGGGUCGUAAACCUCUGUCGGAAGGGAAGAACGGGCAAUGGUCUAAUAGGCCGUUGUUUUGACGGUACCUUUAGAGGAAGCACCGGCUAACUCCGUGCCAGCAGCCGCGGUAAUACGGAGGGUGCAAGCGUUAUUCGGAAUUACUGGGCGUAAAGCGCACGUAGGCGGCCUUGUAAGUCAGGGGUGAAAUCCCACGGCUCAACCGUGGAACUGCCUUUGAAACUGCAGGGCUUGAAUCCUGGAGAGGGUGGCGGAAUUCCUGGUGUAGGAGUGAAAUCCGUAGAUAUCAGGAGGAACACCGGUGGCGAAGGCGGCCACCUGGACAGGUAUUGACGCUGAGGUGCGAAAGUGUGGGGAGCAAACAGGAUUAGAUACCCUGGUAGUCCACACCGUAAACGAUGGACACUAGAUGUCGGAC